rnacentral:tRNA from 1 species
UUGUUGGUGGUCCAGUGGUUAGGACUCUGCUUUUACUGUGGUGGCCCAGGUUCAAAUCCUGGUUGGGGAA